UCGGAAGCGACUGCGGAGACAUUAA
rnacentral:rRNA from 1 species